AAAAGGUACCUGUUCCACUCGCCUCCCCACACAGUGAUUUCAUGUGCAAAACCUGUGAGGAGAGUGUGAUGGGAAACUGCAUGUUCUGUUUCCAGUUCUGAGCUUUAUUGUGAAGAAAGCAGAUGGAUGUGGGUUCAAAUUCUGGUUUUAUCUCGUCAGCUGUCAGACCCUGCGCAGUUUACUUAGGCUAUCUGAACCUCCAUCGCCUCAUCUAUAUGGGGAGAAUGAUAUUUACCUUUCUGAAUCUUAGGGAGGUUUCAAUGACUUGUAUUUAGCACCCUGCCCGGCAAGUUAAUACCAACACUUGUCUGUUGACCCCAACUCCCUCUGCAUAUGCGUAUGCAGAGACACAAACGAAUCCACAGAAAAUAUUCUGUUGCUAUUUGCCGAAGCUAAAAACCUUGAGAACCUCUGUUGCUGCUUGUCCUAGAGAGAAGCUCUGGGUUCAAGUGUCAGCCUUGUACUAAGCAGUGCUGACCCUUGGUGGUAUCACUCUCAUUCUCCAGCCCUCCACGCUCCUCUCUGUAAUAUUGGACGUGCAGUAACAUUGAAGGGGAAGUUCCAUAUUUUUGCAGCCUAGCAUCCCAGGAUUCAAAUAAUCUGAUUAAUCCAACACUCCUCUUUUAAAGUUGAGGAAACUGGUUAUGUAACACCCAGAGUGGAAAUAGGAAGUGAGAGGGGCAGCAUGUAGGAAAUGCAAAUGAUGACAGUAGACCGGGAGUAAGGGAGAGUGCCCCUGAAUGGGGUUCAAGGAAUGAAGCACUGACUGCUUCUCUACCCCUGCGGGGGGGCUGCUGUCUGCCAACCUUCCUCAAUCCCAUGCCUGCCACAAGCACCUGCCCAUGCGAGAGGUUCCAGGCGUCUCUGCCAACCUGACCCCACAGCCAGUGCAGAAUGGCCUUCACGCCAGGGAAGCAUGACCACAAACAGGUCAAGUCAGAAAAUUAUAAAACCCGAAUUCUAGACACGUUCUGCCAUCAUAGGUGUGACCCUAAACAGGUCAGCUCCAGUUUCCUCAUUUGUAAAACAAGGAUGGCAAAGCAUCCACUGCCCCGCAUCAGGCCGUUGUGCAGAGGAAGUGGGCUAAGAGGGAAGAUAUCUCCUUGUAAACUUCCAUGCCCUACACAAAGCUUAUUGUUCCUUGCUGGCAUUGUCUUCCCAAUUUGUUUCUGAGCUUCUUCAAGACAGGGAGCUGAAAUCUUAUGUAUCUCAUAACUAAUUAGCUUCUACUCAGUGAAUCUUUAUUAAGCUCCAGGCAUUGUGCUCAGCUUUUUAUAUAUUAUUUUCUCAUUUAAUUUUCACUUACAACAUUAUGGGAUGAUUAUCUUCAUUUUCUAGAUGAGGAACUAAAAUCAGAAGUUCUGUCACUGGCCCAAACACGAGUAGUUAGUAAAUGGCUGAGCCAGGACUUUUUAAGGGGUCUCACUCUGUCAUGAUCAUAGCUCACUGCAGCCUCAAGCUCCUGGACUCAAGCAAUCCUCCCACCUCAGCCUCCCAAGCUGCUGGGACUAAGGCACACUCCACCUUGCCCAGAUCUGCAUAUACAAACUAAUAUGUAUAAAUAUUUUUUGUAUACCCUUUUACCCCAAAUGGUAACAUAUUAUUGUUUUGCACUUUGCUUUUAUACUUAAUAAAUCAUUUGAAGUCUG